GAUGAACGCUGGCGGCGUGCCUAAUACAUGCAAGUCGAGCGAACGGACGAGAAGCUUGCUUCUCUGAUGUUAGCGGCGGACGGGUGAGUAACACGUGGAUAACCUACCUAUAAGACUGGGAUAACUUCGGGAAACCGGAGCUAAUACCGGAUGAUAUUUUGAACCGCAUGGUUCAAAAGUGAAAGACGGUCUUGCUGUCACUUAUAGAUGGAUCCGCGCUGCAUUAGCUAGUUGGUAAGGUAACGGCUUACCAAGGCAACGAUGCAUAGCCGACCUGAGAGGGUCAUCGGCCACACUGGAACUAGGACACGGUCCAGGCUCCUACGGGAGGCAGCAGUAGGGAAUCUUCCGCAAUGGGCGAAAGCCUGACGGAGCAACGCCGCGUGAGUGAUGAAGGUCUUCGGAUCGUAAAACUCUGUUAUUAGGGAAGAACAUAUGUGUAAGUAACUGUGCACAUCUUGACGGUACCUAAUCAGAAAGCCACGGCUAACUACGUG
rnacentral:rRNA from 1 species